GGCACAGUGGUGCAGUGGUUAGCACUGCUGCUUUGUAGCAAGGAGGUUUUGGGUUUGAAUCCAGCCUGGGGCC